UACGUAGGGUGCAAGCGUUAAUCGGAAUUACUGGGCGUAAAGCGUGCGCAGGCGGUUGUGCAAGACAGAUGUGAAAUCCCCGGGCUUAACCUGGGAAUUGCAUUUGUGACUGCACGGCUAGAGUGUGUCAGAGGGGGUAGAAUUCCACGUGUGAGCAGUGAAAUGCGUAGAUAUGUGGAGGAAUACCGAUGGCGAAGGCAGCCCCCUGGGAUAACACUGACGCUCAUGCACGAAAGCGUGGGAGCGAAACAGG
rnacentral:rRNA from 1 species